UGAUGUUAGGGAUACCUCAUGGUUUCACUGAUAUUAUCUUCUUCUUUUUUUCAAACCAGGUUGGCUGAUGUUGUUUGCAGUCAAUAGGAGAGUGACAUUUUCCUUGAGUGUUCCUGCAAAUGGCUGCUUCUAAAUUCUCUAGCAUUGUCUUGGGAGUGGGUCCUAGAUCAUUGGUAGGAGAAGGAGUCAUUUAUGGAGUUCCAUACCUUUUUCUGGACUUGUGAGGUUCAAGUAUCUGUUCAUGUUGAGAGGUUUCCUUCACUGUCAAUGUCCUUUUGAAAUGUCUUUACGAUGGUUAUGAGCCAAACUUCUUGACAUGCCGAUAGAUUCUUUAGCUGAAUUGUAGUUGAGAAUCAUCUAGAAUCCGAGAGUCCCUCAACGUAAUCGGUCGACUUUCUCCAAGAUAAGUGUUAAGUUGGUGGUGCAUCUCCUUGACUCUUUAAUUUUGGAGUAGUUAGAAGUAGUGGUUUUUCGUAUUCCAAUGAUACUGUGAUUUAUUCACCUGAAGCAAAUUCUACAAUAGUCUCUUUCUUCACCAAUUGUACUCGUAUUCUGGCAGACGCCUUAGUAAGUUCGUAGCACUCCAGUGAACCAAUUUUUAUACCAUUGUUAUUGAGCAUCUCUGGUUUUUAGUAAGGUAGUGGAAGUUCUUUUAGUUGUAUCUAAAACGGAAUUUGUGAUGAAAAUGAACAAGAGUUAUCAGUUCCUUCUGAAGAAUAAGCAUCCAUCUAGCAUUGGGAUAUGGUAUGUUGUCCAUAACAAUUUCUAACACAAUUUCAGCUUGAGAAGAAAUGCUCUUCAUCUAAACACUGACUGUCAUUUUUUCUUCUUAUCACAACAGGGUAUAUUAAUCCUCGUCUUUCUCAAAAGUUAAACUGAAACCUUUUUGUUUGACUCAUUUAAUCAGAAAUGAAAGAGUAACAAGUUACACCAUAACAUAUCAAUUUUUUUACACUGAAGUAGCGUACAUUAUUAGGUAACCUGAAGUACGUAACUUGAUGAAAAAGAAAAUACAUAGGUUACCAAGAUGCAUAAAAGCUGAGCCACGAACAUCGAUAUUCACUGAGCCAACACCAUUGUUAAAACGCUCUAAUCUACCACUAUAAGACUGUCUAAAAACCAAAGAACAAAAAUUGUUAUGGGUAGACCAGAAGAAGUCGCAAAAUCGUUUUUCAAAGGAGAAAAAAAAACAAUUGAUGUGUGAUAGAACCGGGAUUUAUCUAAGAAGCCACAAAGAUCAAACACACAUACGCCUGAAAGGCCCAAUAUUAUAAUCUGAGAUCUUGUAGUAGGCCCCAUGGUGAGCUGUAAAUAACAUUGCUAGGCUGUGGGUGAAUGAUGAGGAGAGGUGGACCACGUGGAGAUGAAUGUGUUAAGCUUUUCUGGUCUAAAGGCAUGGGGGAGACAGCUCUGCCUCUUUGCUCUUUUUCUCUUUAACUAUCUAUUUUUUCUCUU
rnacentral:lncRNA from 1 species